UGGCGGCAAUAGCGCGGUGGUCCCACCUGACCCCAUGCCGAACUCAGAAGUGAAACGCCGUAGCGCCGAUGGUAGUGUGGGGUCUCCCCAUGCGAGAGUAGGACACUGCCAAGC
rnacentral:rRNA from 2 species